rnacentral:rRNA from 1 species
CUUCCGCCGGCGACCGGCGCACGGGUGAGUAACACGUAUGCAACCUGCCCCUGUCAGGGGGACAACCGCCGAAAGGCGGGCUAAACCCGCGUACAUGCCACCGGGGCAUCCCGGAGGCAGGAAAGGCUUCGGCCGGACAGGGAUGGGCAUGCGGCGCAUUAGGCAGUAGGCGGGGUAACGGCCCACCUAACCGACGAUGCGUAGGGGUUCUGAGAGGAAGGUCCCCCACACUGGUACUGAGACACGGACCAGACUCCUACGGAAGGCAGCAG